rnacentral:misc_RNA from 1 species
UCCGGUUUAUCACCGGCAGUCCCCUAUGAGUCCCCGGCCGAACCGCUGGUAACAUAGGGCAAGGGUUGCGCUCGUUGCGGGACUUAACCCAACAUCUCACGACACGAGCUGACGACAGCCAUGCAGCACCUGUCCAGAUGUCCCGAAGGAGGGCCCGUGUUUCCACGGGCUUUCACCUGGAUGUCAAGCCCAGGUAAGGUUCUUCGCGUUGCAUCGAAUUAAGCCACAUACUCCACCGCUUGUGCAGGCCCCCGUCAAUUUCUUUGAGUUUCAGCCUUGCGGCCGUACUCCCCAGGCGGGGUGCUUAACGCGUUAGCUGCGACGCUGAAAGGGUCGCUCCCCCCAGCAUCUAGCACCCAUCGUUUACGGCGUGGACUAC